GACGAACGCUGGCGGCGUGCUUAACACAUGCAAGUCGAACGGUAAAGCCCUGUUCUUGUUGGGUGCUCGAGUGGCGAACGGGUGAGUAACACGUGAGUAAACUGACCUUGACUUUGGGAUAACUUCACGAAACUGGGGCUAAUACCGGAUAGGAUCUCCUGCUGCAUGGUGGUGGUGGGUAAGUGUCGGCGGUUGGGGAGGGACUCGGGGCUGAGCAGCUUGUUGGUGGGGUAGUGGCUUACCAGGGCUUUGAGGGUUAGCCGGCAUGAGAGGGUGGACGGACAGAUCGGGCUCGAGAGAGGGCCCAGACUCGUGAGGGAGGCAGCAGGGGGGAAUAUCGCACAAAGGGCGGAAGCGUGAGGGAGGAACGCCGCGGGGGGGAUGACGGCUUUCGGGAUGGAAGCAGGUUUCGCUUGUGACGAAGCGGGAGUGAGGGAACUGGGUAAAGAGGCACCGCUAACUUAGUU
rnacentral:rRNA from 1 species